rnacentral:rRNA from 1 species
UACAGAGGUCCCAAGCGUUGUUCGGAUUCAUUGGGCGUAAAGGGUGCGUAGGCGGUGCAGCAAGUCGGGUGUGAAAUCCCUCAGCUCAACUGAGGAACUGCGCCCGAAACUGCUGUGCUAGAGGAAGAUAGGGGUACGCGGAACUUAGGGUGGAGCGGUGAAAUGCGUUGAUAUCCUAAGGUACACCGGUGGCGUAAGCGGCGUACUGGGUCUUUUCUGACGCUGAGACGCGAAAGCGUGGGGAGCGAACCGG